UACGGAGGGUGCGAGCGUUGUCCGGAAUCAUUGGGCGUAAAGGGCGCGUAGGUGGCCCGCUCAGCGUGCGGUGAAAGCCUGGGGCUCAACCCCGGGUCGGCCGUGCGAACUGGUGGGCUGGAGCACUGUAGAGGCAGGCGGAAUUCCGGGUGUAGCGGUGGAAUGCGUAGAGAUCCGGAAGAACACCGGUGGCGAAGGCGGCCUGCUGGGCAGUGGCUGACACUGAGGCGCGACAGCGUGGGGAGCAAACAGG
rnacentral:rRNA from 1 species